AUUGCCACAGCAUUUAUCUAGCAGCAGGAAACCAUUAUCCUAUGACAACAAUCUAUUCCAUUAACAUUAGCUCUUAAUUGUAAGAUUGUUUAUAAGACAGCAAAAGCUACUGAAUCAUAUUAGAAUGAUAAAAAGAGUUAUAGUCAUGGAGUAUAGUAGUCCCUCCAGUUAUGAAAAAUAACCUAAGAGUAGAAAGCUAUAUUUUAUAUUAAAAAUAAUGUAAUAUUGUUACACAAUAUAAUAUUUUAAAAUAAUUGAUUACAUCAGGAAGGUAGCUACUAAAGAGUUAAUUUUAAAAACUGUUACUAAGAAACUCUUUCUUUGAUAAGGAUAUGGCUGAAAAAUGAAAUAGAAAGCUUCGAAACCCUUCCUCUUGCUUUUAGCAAUGCUGCACCGAGCCAGAGAAAUCAUAACAACAGAAAUAUAUUUGUCUGGUGGAGUGAACAGAAGAAAUGUUGCAGAAUUGAGAUACCCAGAACCUCACUGCAGAAUAGAAGGAGAACUGUCAUUCUGAUUGUUUGUCAUUAUUGUUUCAUGUCCAGUUAAGUGAAGUUAAAGUGACAGUUGUGUCAUAACUGCUGGCAUCUAUGUAAAUUUCAAAUCAAAUAUGAUAGAGGCAUUUCUGCCAGACAGAAGUCACCAGGCUGCUCUUCCUCUUCGUUUUUGUAACCCUGCAUUUUCUCAUGCCAUUGCUGGUAGCCCUUAAAUUAAAAAGACAACUUCAACAGGGGAUCUCUGUGUUGUGUGUGCUUCAGUGCUCAGCCUGUACCUUGCUUUCUCUCAGCUUUUUGAAACAAUGCCCCAGUGUCAAAUUUCCACCAGAAACUGUCACCACGAACAUCUAGAUGGAUUAGCUAAACCUGUGCCUACCCAUUAAUGAUGUAUCAUACAACAAGAGCCUGUGAAGUUCCAGGUUGAGAAUGUCCGCUGAAGACCUACAGAGAAAACAGCUCGAGCAAAUGUUCCUCCAUUGGUUUACUGCAGCCCAAGACAGACAUCUCUGUGGAUAGGAGCAAAAUAGGCAGAAAACAUUGGUCAUGGACCUUUCUGUGCAUUACAGCAUUGUUCAGAGAUCAUGGGAACUUCAUAAAGAUAUCAGACAUACUCCUCCACUGCAAUGAGCUACAUGUAAAUAAUUAAUUUCUUGGAUACACUCAGACAGAUAUUCUAAUUACAUAGGAUUUGCUACUGGACACACAUCUUUGAAAAUAAUUCCAAUGCAAUUAUAAAGUGCUGUCUACUGCUUCGAAAAGAAUGCUACGAGUGAAGGCACCCAGGAUUCUUCCCAGCUUCUGCCAGGAUGUGAGUCUGCCAUAUCACUGGAUAUCCGACUUAAAUACUUUAUCCAGUCACAUUUUUAAAUUGAUUGAGGCCUGAACCAGAAAAUCCUGUGUGAGUAAAAGGAUGCAUUACUUUUAAGUAAGGAAUGGCUGUUGAUUUUUCAUCCCUGUUUCUGGACAGACUGGGGUCAGAGGGUUUGUUUUAGAAGUUUGUUUGUUCAAAAGGUGUAGUUUGCAAGACACGUGGAUCAGGAAAGUGCCACAUGGAAGAUGUCAAAGCAGCAGCCUCAACACUUCUCCCUAAUGUGAAAAGGAAAAGGAAGUCCCUGAGGUAUGCACUAUUCAGGGAGAGAACCUAGAGCUCCCAUAGGGAUGCAGUAUUUAGGGAGAGAACCAAGACUCUUCCCCUGAAUGCAGAGACAAGUGAUGAAUUCUGGACUGCCUGGUAUCUUAGGGGCACAUCUCGCUUUAAGAAUUAUUUGGAUCCCUGUAACAUUUUCCAGACAUUCAGAUUGCAACUACUAAGCCAGCAAUUUUAUGCUUUCCCUUCCCUGAUUCCAAGAGCACUGCAAUAUAAGCAGCCAGAUUUUCUUCUGCAUUGUGUUUUUUAUCCAUUCAGCCAAAAUUAACAGUCUUCUAAGAUAACGUAUGCCAAGUGAAUUUAAAUCUUGUGGACUCAAAUCGACCUAAAGUUGAUGGAUACAUUCAUGCCUACUGCUGAAAUCUACCAAUUACACAGAACUACGUUAACUUACCAUAGAAACAUCUCAUCUAAUAGCACAGAUGAUGUUGAACUAACUAAUUACAUUAUGGCACAUAGACAAUGAAAAACAUAACGAAGAUGACAGCACAGCAACAGCAGAUGCUGCACAAAAGAAAAAUUAGAAAAAUAUUGCUCUGCAAAAUGCUCUCAGUUAAGGUUUCCUCUGUUAAAAUUAAUCACAAAAAUUAGUGAUGAUCAGAUUUCAGAAAAAGAUAUGAACAUUGUAAUGCAAUUUGGAAAACAUCAUUAAGCCAUUUAAAACUCUGCUCCUUGAGAAGGUAAUUCCUGUUUUUUGUAUCACCCUCAUUUUUAAGACUAGUAAACAUUUUAGUGCCUAUGGCAGAGUUUCUUGGUAGAAUAUCUUUUCCAAUAAGGAGCGGUCCUAAUGGCUCUCCCAGAGUCUGAAUUUGGUAGCUUCCAGCCAUUACAGGCUUAGAUAAUUAGACAAUGUAGAUUUUAUUUGAGCUUGGCAUUUGCUCUGUUCUUGUGCUCUUAACUGUCAGAGAGCUAAAAUAUCAGUGAUUGUUGAUUAUCUGUAGCAUGCCUUGUUGCUUUAUAUAUUUUAAAUUGUACCAGAUCCUACAUAACAAA